rnacentral:lncRNA from 1 species
CAGGCAGGCAGCCAGCAAUGGCCAUGGCGUCGUCGAGCGGGCUGAGGAGCUGCAGCGCCGUGGGCGUGCCCAGCCUCCUGGCGCCGUCGUCCCGGUGGUCCAGCCGCCUGCCGUUCUGCGCCAACGCCACCACCUCCGGCCGCGUCACCAUGUCCGCCGAGUGGAUGCCCGGCCAGCCCCGCCCUGCCCACCUCGACGGCUCCUCGCCCGGGUAAGCUAGCUAGCUAGCUAGCGGCUGAGUCUCUGUCUCUGUCUCUGUCUGACAACGGCGGCGCGGCGGCCGGCGGCGUGCUCUGCUCUGAUUUCUCUAGCUCUCUCUCUCUCUGACGAUUACAGGGACUUCGGCUUCGACCCUCUUGGUCUGGCGACGGUGCCGGAGAACUUCGAGCGGUUCAAGGAGUCGGAGGUGUACCACUGCCGGUGGGCGAUGCUGGCGGUGCCGGGGAUCCUGGUGCCGGAGGCUCUAGGGCUAGGCAACUGGGUGAAGGCGCAGGAGUGGGCGGCCGUCCCCGGCGGCCAGGCGACGUACCUGGGGAACCCGGUGCCGUGGGGGUCGCUGCCGACGAUCCUGGUGAUCGAGUUCGUGGCCAUCGCGUUCGCGGAGCACCAGCGCACCAUGGAGAAAGACCCCGAGAAGAAGAAGUACCCCGGCGGCGCCUUCGACCCGCUGGGAUUCUCCAAGGACCCCGCCAAGUUCGAGGAGUACAAGCUCAAGGAGAUCAAGAACGGCCGCCUCGCCAUGCUCGCGUUCGUCGGCUUCUGCGUGCAGCAGUCGGCGUACCCCGGCACCGGCCCGCUGGAGAACCUCGCGACCCACCUCGCCGACCCGUGGCACAACAACAUCGGCGACAUCAUCAUCCCCAGAUCAAUCUCCCCUUGAGCUCAGAUCAGAUGCAUGUUUUGUACGUGUGUCAUUGCCUUGCCAUUACUAGGCAUUGCCUGCUGCCUGCCUGCGUGCAGGAGCUGUACAACGACGACGGCGACUUCCUGCGCCGGAAAACCCCUUGUAAUGUAAAGCUUAUAUUAUUAAGUAGCGGCUACUCUUGUAGUCUUGUAUCAAAUCUAAACUGGUUUAGCUGAGUCCCAUGGUUAUUUCGAGACUAAUUAACCAGGGGAAGUUUAGCUUAAAACGGAGAAAAUUCAUACGAGAACUUUGACAAAUGAUAACUACAAAGUAUCUGUGUUUCUGCUUUCCGCAAACCCUUUUUUUUGUUUCUUUUUUUUCUCCUAGAUCUCUUUCGCUCUUUGCUGUAACUCUCACUUUCUUUUUGUUGUAACUUAACUUACCUGCCUUUAAUAAAAUUCCUGUAGGGGCCAAGGCCCCUCCAGUUCUCUCAAAAAAAAA